rnacentral:rRNA from 1 species
CACUAUAAGAAUAUAAUAUAACUUACAGCAUAACCUGCUCAAUGAAUAUAAAUAGCCGCAGUAAACUGUGCUAAGGUAGCAUAAUCACAUGCCAAUUAAUUAUUGGAUAGAAUGAAAGGUAAAACGAAUGAUAAAAAGUAUCAAUAAUAAAACACAAACUUCAUCUAAAAGUAAAAAAGCUUCACCAUAUAUGAAAGACGACAAGACCCUGACAAACUUAACUUCAACAGUUAGACUGGGGCGGUCACAAAAAACACCUUACAACAACCUUAACUCAUAACACCCCUAAUAUAUUAUAAUCAACCAGUUACUGCAGGGAUAACAGUGUCACUACCUACGAAAGCUCACAUUCAAUAGGUAACCUACAACCUCGAUGUUGAAUAACAUUCUAAUUAAAUAGAGCACAAGCUAAUUAAGAAAGUCUGUUCGACUAAUAAUAAAUUACA